GUGUUGUAUGAAAGGAGAGAAGGUUAGCACUCCCCUUGACAAGGAUGGAAAUGGCCCCUGUGGCCUGCAACACAUAAUGGUUAAGGCAUUGCCACCUACUUCGUGGCAUCUCUAACCAAAUUUUUGC